rnacentral:lncRNA from 1 species
UCAUAGCUGAGUGCUAAAGGGAUCUAAAUAUUGAAGUGAGGAAGACAAAUGAUAGACGGAUGAAGGUCAAAUGGAAACCUCCAGAGGUCUCAAGCCAACAGAAGCAACAUAUAUGUGAAGGGUUAUUUCAGAAAGGGGGUUUUGGAAGGGGUUUUCGAAGAGAAACUUACUGCUUUCUACUCUCACCAGAAACUGGAAACUAUUUUUAUCCACUUGUCAUUGAAAUGGGACACUAUCUCAUUCUGAUAUUUGCUAAUUUGGUAAAUUAAUAUGUUUAAAUUUAAAUUUGUAUAUUAAUAAGCUUAUGUAGUUUAAGUGAGUUUGUUAGUUUUUCAAAUGGUCUUGGUAGGUUUAUAACAGAUUUGUAUGAGCUUUUGUAUAUUAAUGGAUAAUAAAUAUCACGAAAGGUUUCAGAUAUAUUAAAUAGGGAUAUCUUCACAUAACUGUCUUUGAAAGGGCUUCUGUCAGUCUUAAAUGAAAUAACUUCUUUAUAACCCCUGGAAGAGUUCCUUGCAUUUAGAAGUAUUAUAUGUGUUAGCUUUUUAUUGCC